GAGACGCUGGCGGCGUGGAUUAGGCAUGCAAGUCGAACGGUAUCAUCCUUUCGGGGGUGAGAGAGUGGCGAACUGGUGAGUAACACGUAGGUUAUCUACCCUCAAGACGGGGACAACCCAGGGAAACUUGGGCUAAUACCGGAUGUGAGCAACUUUUAGUUGUUUGAAAGGUGGCGUAAGCUGUCGCUUGGGGAUGAGCCUGCGUCCUAUUAGUUAGUUGGUGAGGUAACGGCUCACCUAGGCAAUGAUAGGUAGGCGGCCUUAACGGGUGGUCGCCCACACCGGGAUUGAGAUACGGCCCAGACUCCUACGGGAGGCAGCAGUCGAGAAUAGUCUACAAUGGUCGGAAGACUGAUAGUGCGACGCCGCGUGAACGAUGAAUCCCUUCGGGGUGUAAAGUUCUUUUAUAUGUGAGCAGUGCUUCUUAUAUUGACAGUAUGGGGAGAGAGAUAUUAGCAUAUGAAUAAGCAACGGCUAACUCCGUG
rnacentral:rRNA from 1 species